UAUCCGUAGGUGAACCUGCGGAAGGAUCAUUAUUGUAUAACCGAGGUGCGAGGGCUGUCGCUGACCCGAAAGGUCGUGCACGCCCGAGUGCCCUCAAACACAUCCAUCUCACCCCUAUGUGCACCACCGCGUGGGUCCCCCUUUGGCUUGUUCGGAGGGGGGCUUACGUUUUCACACAAACUUUGUAUGCAGUGUAGAAUGUAUUUUUUGUUUUUGCGAUCACGCAAUCAAUACAACUUUCAACAACGGAUCUCUUGGCUCUC
rnacentral:misc_RNA from 1 species